UGUGGGAGCGAGCCUGCUCGCGAUAGCGGUCUGUCAGCCAACGCUAUGUAACUGAUGCAAUGCCAUCGCGAGCAGGCUCGCUCCCACA
rnacentral:misc_RNA from 1 species